GAAAAAGUCAGUCACUCACAAAGAGGAAGGAAGAGAGCUCGACUGGACUGAGUGAACAAGUGCUCACCAAGGGCUGCAAUGGGACAGACGUCUUUUCUGCUCUUGCUGAUCUCACUGCUGUGCUGCAGGACCGAAGGAGAAACUUAAAGGAACAAGAUUUCUGCCAUCAACAUAACAACCAGCACAAAAACAGACUUCAGUGAAACUACCAGAAACAAACAGUGGAGUGAAAAGACCGGAACAAACAUCUAAAAACAGGGACUCAAGCUGACAUCAAGUCUCGAAAGUCGAAGCUCGAUCAGAUCUGACCUUCAUGGUCUAAAAGCUUCAUGUAUGCAUAGUGUGUGUUUGAACUAACAUUUUAUAACUGGAAUUAGUCACGUCCCAUUUGUUAGUUACAAACGAUUCAAGAAUCCAAUUUUCCUUUUCAUUGAAUGUUUAAAAAUAUAAACAAUUACAAUGAAAACUGUAAGACUUUUCAGCUGAUUUCAAACAUGCCUGACCCCCCCAGCAAAAUUAAUUUUCAAGUAAAAAGAAAAUAAAUGAGACUAAUUCAACAGUUCAUUGUGAGUAGUGACCACUGUUGAUUGAUGAGGAGGCGUGAGUUGUGGUGCAUUUCUGCUUCAGAUUCAGAUUGUUUUAUCAUGUGACUCAGAUUUAAAGUAUAACUCGUACGCUGCUGUAAGAAAAACACACAAGGAACCAUUUAGAGCCAACUUAAAUUAAACAUACAUGGCAGCCAAACAUCGGUUUAACAAGACAAUCACAAAGAAAAAAUGUUGAAUGUCCCUGAAUUCUGUCCAACAAUAUAAUAAAUGAUGACUCGAUGGAAUUUCCAUUUAUUUAUUUUGAAACCACGCUGGGAAAACAUUUUUUCCACCUAAUGUUUUUAUUUUUGUAUUGUUGUAUUAUAUUGUAUGUCGUUAUUCUUUUUCAUAAUUUCUGUCACUUCUGAGGACAAUUUACUCAAAAGCCUUAGCUUGUAGUCUCUGUCAGCAUCACACUCUUCAGUAAUGGCACAGAAGUGUUUCUGGAGCUAAAGCUCUUCAGCAGCACUUCAGUUCAGAAAGCUUUGCUCAACAAACACAGAAGGUUUGUUAAACACAGUGAGGGAUGUCAAGCUUUUACUGUGACGCCCUCUGG